CUCCGCCCAUACCACCUUGAGUGCACCCAAUCUUGCUGAUCUCAGAAGUUAAUCAGUGCGGGGUCUGAUUAGUCCCUGGGUGAGAAGAAGCAAAGC
rnacentral:rRNA from 1 species